rnacentral:tRNA from 1 species
GCCUCUUUAGCUCAGUUGGCAGAGCAUUCGCCUUGUAAGCGAAAGGUCGUGGGUUCAAUUCCCACAGGAGGCU